UUCCCUCUUUCCCUCCUCCCUCCCUCCCUCCCUCCACCCCAUCGACAGCCACCCACCUGCUGAGCACCGUCGACCACCAGCUACCACCGCCACCGAACCCCGGUUCGUCCAUUUCCGGCCUCCAUCCACCGUCAAGCUCCGAAGAUCGAACGUAUAGCUCCAACGAUCCAUCGACCGUUCCGCCAUGACGAUCCCAGCCGAGCUACCACCACCGCCGACGAGCCAAGCCGAAUCACCACCACAGCAGAGGACUCCGACGACCCAUCCAUCUUAAGUUGCUUGAUCCGCCACUGCGCCACCCACAAGCACCGUCGACCACCGCCACCAGCGACGUCCAUCUCCAUCGCCGCUACAAGCACCGUUUUCCACUACAAUGUUGAUCUGGGGACAGCAUUUGGAAAGUAUUUUCGUGUGUCCUGCCUUACCAUUGUUGAUCCAGAUGCUGAUGAAGACAGUGAUUAAGUUCUUCAUAAGAGGACUUGCUUACUGACAGCAGGAGCCUCGACACUGUUUUUGAGUUUCAAUUUGAAUUGGGUUUUUUUUUUUUUUUUUUUUUUUUCCGUCUUUCUAUAGCAUCUGUCUCAUUCUGCAUGUAUUUGGGCUUUUUCAGUGAAAUAGUUUUGUCAGUCCGUUUGUGUUUAAUUCAUAUUUAAUUCACAUUCCUAUAAACGAAUGUAUGUUUAAUUCAUAUUUUGCUGUUCUGUGGAAUUUUUUUUUAUGUAAUUUUGUUCCUAAAGUGGUCUGUAUUGAGGUUGGUUUGUAAAUUUUCAUGUAACAUCUAUUUGAAAGUUAUAUUUGAGGGACUUUCCUUUUUUCUA